CCCACUCCUCUUCAAAGCUCAAGAUGGCCUGGCCGUUGGUCUUCCUUGCCUGUCUCACUUACUGCUCAGGAGUCAAUUCACAGCCACCAUGGAUUCAGCCAGCCUCCCUGUCUGUGUCUCUGGGAGAAACAGCAAACAUCUCCUGCACGGUCAGUGGACGUGUGAAUAAUAUUUAUUGGUACCAGCAAAAAACUGGGCAGGUCCCUCGCUAUGUGCAGUAUUCUGCUGGAGGCCGGGGUGCCGGGUUCCCAGAUCGAUUCACGGCUUCUGUGUCUGGGAACAUUGGAUAUUUAGCCAUCAGCGACAGCCAGGCAGAAGACGAGGCUGACUAUUACUGUGCGAUGUGGCAGAGCAGUGCCAGUUCGUUGCACAGUGGCAUCAACUCCCAACCAACUUUGACCCAACCUCCAUACAUGUCAGUGUCCCAGGGGCAAACAAUUAAACUCUCCUGUACUGUCAGCAGCGACCAAAAUACCAUAUACUGGUAUCAACAGAAGGUUGGACAGAGCCCCCGUUAUGUACAUUACUCUGGUGGGAGCAGAGGAGAAGGGAUCCCAGAUCGGUACACGGCUUCUGUCUCUGGGAACAUUGGUUAUUUAACCAUCACCGACAGCCAGGCAGUAGACGAGGCUGUUUACUACUGUGAUAUGUGGUAUAGCAGUGGUAGAAUGUUUCACAGUGGUGCAGAGUGA